AUUGAACGCUGGCGGCAUGCUUUACACAUGCAAGUCGGACGGCAGCACAGAGAAGCUUGCUUCUUGGGUGGCGAGUGGCGAACGGGUGAGUAACAUAUCUGAACGUACCGAGCAGUGGGGGAUAACUAAUCGAAAGAUUAGCUAAUACCGCAUAUCUUCUGAGGAAGAAAGCAGGGGACCAUUUGGCCUUGCGCUGUUUGAGCGGCCGAUAUCUGAUUAGCUAGUUGGUGGGGUAAAGGCCUACCAAGGCGACGAUCAGUAGCGGGUCUGAGAGGAUGAUCCGCCACACUGGGACUGAGACACGGCCCAGACUCCUACGGGAGGCAGCAGUGGGGAAUUUUGGACAAUGGGCGCAAGCCUGAUCCAGCCAUGCCGCGUGUCUGAAGAAGGCCUUCGGGUUGUAAAGGACUUUUGUCAGGGAAGAAAAGCGCGGGGUUAAUACCCCUGUCUGAUGACGGUACCUGAAGAAUAAGCACCGGCUAACUACGUG
rnacentral:rRNA from 1 species